AUCAAAGAUGGAUCUGCAAACCUCAGUUUUUCUUCUGUUCGUUCUUUUCACUGCAGGACACUCUCUCAGAUGUUAUGAGUGAGUGAUUUCUUGUGAAAAUCAAAAUGUGACAACAUGUCCCAGUGGAUCUUCCAAGUGCAGGAGUUUAACAAUAGUGGCACAAGUUGGUCCCAUUAAGGUGUCCACCAUAAGUAAAGGGUGUGUUCCUACAUGUGAAGCUGGGAUCCCGACUGGAGGGACAGUAACCCAGUGCUGUGACACUGACCUCUGCAAUGCAGCAGAUGGCGUGUAUAAGGGGAGCUUCCUCCUGCUGUUGUCUCCUCUGCUCUUCUACUUCCUGUUCCAGUGAGUCCAGCUGCACUUCAGAUUCAAGAGCUGCAGCAGAAACUGAACAUCACACACAUUUCUAGUCAUGCUCUAUUGAAUAAAGUGUACAUGAUGUUCUGCUGUUCUUUAGUAUGAUGAUUUGAGGGAUGGAAAUCUGUAUUUUUACUAAACAUAUUAAAAUAGUGCAUCAACUAGUGUAACACACAAAUAAUAAUAAAAGAAAAAAAAAGAAUAUAUGAUAAUGAGUUUACAAUAUCUGUAGUAAUUUUGUAGAGUAAUAAUAUUUGCAGUUAAGACUAUACAUUUCCUUUAUA